AUUGAACGCUGGCGGCAUGCCUAAAACAUGCAAGUCGAACGGCAGCACGGUCUAGCUUGCUAGAUGGGUGGCGAGUGGCGAACGGGUGAGUAACGCGUAGGAAUAUGCCUUGAAGUGGGGGACAACUUGGGGAAACUCAAGCUAAUACCGCAUAAUUUCUUAGGAAAAAAGCUGGGGACCUUAGGGCCUGGCGCUUCAAGAUUAGCAUGCGUAUGAUUAGCUAGUUGGUAGGGUAAGAGCCUACCAAGGCGACGAUCGUUAGCUGGUCUGAGAGUAGGGCCAGCCACACGGGAACUGAGACAAGGUCCAGACUCCUACGGGAGGCAGUAGUGGGGUAUAUUGGACAAUGGGGGCAACCCUGAUCCAGCAAUGCCGCGUGUGUGAAGAAGGCCUGAGGGGUGUAAAGCACGUUAAGUGGGGAGGAGAAGUGCCAGGUUAAGAGCUAGGUAAUUGGACGUUACCCACAGAAGAAGCACCGGCUAACUCCGUGCCAGCAGCCGCGGUAA
rnacentral:rRNA from 1 species